AAUCAACGCUGGCGGCGUGCCUAACACAUGCAAGUCGCACGAGAAAGUGGAGCAAUCCAUGAGUACAGUGGCGCACGGGUGAGUAACACGUGAAUAAUCUACCUCGAGCGGGGAAUAACUGAGAGAAAUCUUAGCUAAUACCGCAUAACACUUACGAGUCAAAGCAGCAAUGCGCUUGAAGAGGAGUUCGCGGCAGAUUAGUUAGUUGGCGGGGAAUGGCCCACCAAGACGAUGAUCUGUAUCCGGCCUGAGAGGGCGCACGGACACACUGGAACUGAAACACGGUCCAGACUCCUACGGGAGGCAGCAGUGGGGAAUUUUGCGCAAUAGGGGGAAACCCUGACGCAGCAACGCCGCGUGGAGGAUGAAGCCCCUUGGGGGU
rnacentral:rRNA from 1 species